GAGUCGUAUAGACCCGGGAGGCGACACGAGGCCUUCCGGGCCGACUAUGAUUGACUCGCGGCACUUUCUCCCACUUUUCCCUCAGAUAUCCCCGGUGCGUGCCCUGAGUUAUAAACCAACUACUCCGCGUACAUAUGCCAUGGGACUUUGGGAGUGCACUCCUUGGGGAACGGACUCGUACAGGAUCGAUAGGAUCGUGGGAAAUCGUAGCUCGAAAAGAAGAAGAAGAAUGAACUACUUUUCCAAGUAAUUGGUUGCAUUUGAUGAUCGUGAUGGAGGCAGAGAGUGCUGCUGAUCGCGAUCCAGAUCCGGGUCAAGAAUCACCUCCUGAUCCUAAGGAAACCUCAGCUGACGUAGAUCUACCUUCUCUUCGCGUGAACGCUCAGUCUGUGUUGGCUUGGGCCACAGAGCGUUCCGAAUCCCAGCCGCUAAAGACCCACAGAAGGCAAGAAGCUUGCGUUGCAAAGCUGCUGUCCCGCCUGACUGCGGAGAAAGAAGACUCGUUUAUGGUUGUUCUACAGCCGCUGCUGACGUCCAUCAGCUCUGUCCUGCUCCCAGCAGCAGAUUGGCCUGGAUUUCAAUGAGUCGUGUCCCAACUCCGGUGUGAACGAUUUCCCGACGUCAAGACGAAGUGGGGUCAAGUCAAGGAAGCUGUCACAAGAUGAUCCGGUAUUGAACGGCUACAGCACAACCGAGAGAACGAAAUGUACGUCGCAAUCAAGCUAUGUCGUUGCCAUCUUCUAUGUGCCAGCCUGCUAUGUCGGAUACCGCUAGCCAUGCAUCGACUAGGCGCCAGGCGCGAACUGAUGGUGGUGGUGGUGGGAAGGAGAGCUCUGUGCCAGAAUAACUUUGGAGUUUGGAGAGCGUGUCUGGGCAGGCGUGUAUUUACCCCCAUAUUGCCAGGUGUUUAUUUACCACCAUAUGAACCAACCAUAAGUGCAGUUGCAGUGGAGUCUUCAACUUCAUUCUCCCGAGUCAAGCUCCUUGUGAAGGCAUCUAAGAAGAAGAUUGCCUGAUGAGUCCAGCCGGGACGAAAGGUACGUCGCAAUCAAGCUAUGUUGUUGCUGUGUCAUCUUCUAUGCGCCAUACGCUACCUGAUGUACCAGCCUGCUAUGUCGGACACCACUCACCCU